AUCAAGGUUCUUGCUCGCGGUAGUGGCUGACGGAGGAGGAUCAGGGUUCUUGCUCGCGCCAAUGGCAGAUGUCGAUGCUUGUCGGGAGUUAUGUUGCACCAAAUUAAAGAUCAUUUGCAAUGUCUCGUUAGCAUGAACGCACCAAAUUAAGAUAAAUUCUAUCCAGCAAAAGUGGACUGUAAAGAAAAGCAUGCUACAUGAUCCUCAAAACAUCUAUAAGCAUAUCCUAAAUCUUUACUGAAUCUUCUAAGCUUGAUGUCAGUGUGUAUAAGAUAUUGCUUAAAAGAUCACUUUCUAGUGAUGAUCGAACAUGUAGAAAAACUUUAAAAGAUAGCCAAAUAAAAUGACAAGCAACAGCUCAAAGAGAAAUAACUGAAUAUACAACUUUGUUGAAGCAAGUUUCAUUUGUGCUCUCCAGAUGGCCAUAAAUGUCGCCCUUUCGAACGGGAGACGCUCUCCAGAUGGACAAUCUUAUGACAGUUAUAAAUAUGCAAAGACAUGCAUAUUUAUAGAUGUCGCCCUUUCGAACGGGAGACACCUAGGUUAUGAGACUUGACAUGAAAGCAAAAUCUAUUGGCAUCGGCACGACGACCGAAACAAAGCAAAUAGGGGAGGGGGAAGAGAUGAUAGUCGAGCUCACCCCUAGACCGUUCUUUUUUGCUAGUGCUUGUACUACAGUGCCACAAAUAUUCCCAGUUAAGACAAGUUAUAAUAAAGACGAAUAACCAGUUUUGUUAUAUGUCAUACAACAAAAGUUUACGCAUAUGAACCAUAUAGCAGUACAUUUGCACACAUAUACCACUAGCAGUAUAACUACACACAUAUAGCAGUACAUUUUCUACAUAGCCAAAAAAUGCAUUUCACUAUUCUGAAAUUUGUUCACACAUUAGCAGUCACUAGUCGUCAACCCGUGUGACUGCACGGGCUAGUUAUUAGGGAUAAAGAUAAUUUAAUCAUAAUUGAUAUGUCUUGAAACUAUGCAAAGGCUUAGUAUCCCCGUGGCAAACAUACAUACAUUCCUACUAAAAGUAAAUACCAUAUACUUAUUUGAUCCAUAAGGUAUUAUAUUCAAUAAAUUUUAUUUUUAGAAAAGAUAAAAAUGAUUUAGGUUGUGAAAUAUCAUCCAAUACUUGGUCCUACCAUCCUAAAAAAUGCUGAUAAUAGGCAACCAUAGUGUUGUAAAGUACAUAAUCCUAUGGGUAUGAAAAUUAAUCAUGUGAGAGAGGUAAAGAAAAAAAUCAAUUAAAUUCAGCCUCUUGCACACCAAAUCGAUCUGUUGUUGCACCUAAGACAUGAUUUUUCUGGAUUAUAAGAAAACAAAAUUGGAAGAGAAACUUUAGGGAAAGAGAAGUUUUCUUAAAACUGCUGCAUAUAGUACUCUUAUUUGGCGUGAAAGGUACUCCAAAGUGUAGUACGUAUUAGUUAAAUGAGUAACCCUUAGCUGAAAAUGUAGUCAAAGUGGCCAUUUUAAACACUUGCGACAUUAGCAAUGUGUAGUCUUAAUUUCAGGAGCGGUCUAAUUAUCUCUAGGAUGGGCCACUGCAAAUUCAUACUAAUUCAAAAUUGGGAUAUUUUUUCAGGGAUAAGAAUAUUUGCUGCUACAAUAUAUUGGACUGAACUCAAACAAUGAGUGUUUCUUUCUUCUUUAAAUACAAUCGGCAUUUUCAUGCAACAUGGAUGAAAUGAUGAAUAGAUGAAAUCAGCCUCUUAUAAUUACAACAUGAAAAUAUAUUAGUUAUAUGCUUCGUUCCCACACAUGUAUUCUGAAAUAUGAAGUGGCACAAUGAAUCUAGACCUAAUUUAUCAAAACAACUGUGCAAAUGAAAUUAAGGGGACUAUAGAAGCUUGUUGAGGAAAUAGAUACUUGGAGGUUAUAUACAACUACAUUUGUGUAUCCUUAAAAUACCUAGGAGAAACAAAAUUUGGAGAUCAUAUACAACUACAUAUUUGUUUUCACCCUUGAUGCCAUAAUCAACGUAUUGUUUCAAAUACAGUACACAUUGGUAAAGCUACAGGUAUUAUAAAUAUACGAUAUGCAAAGAACAGUAAGGAGCUGCGGAUGGCACAUGCUAUUUUUCUCGAUUUACUAUAUGUUAGAUUUUAGUAUAAAAGAGAGAAUAUCGGGUAAUUUUCUACAUGGGCUUUUUUCGCAGAAUGAUUUUGUUGUAAUACAUAAUUCACCAUAAAUGUUUUAGGACCUUAGGUCGACACUCGUGUUGACAGAUCUAGGAAACAAAUAUGCAUAUAAGAAUGCUCGAAUAUGGUAACUUUUAUGAAACAAAACAGCAAUGGCUACCACAUGGAAGCAUGUGCAGAGAUAUCUAAGAAUCUAAAAUGAGUAACGUACCAAGGCUGUUUCAUGGCUAUAAAAAAGAAGUGAAACAAAUGAACUUCAGUACGUACAACAGUACUAUUAGAAUUGACGAAGGGCUGGUGUUGCUUGCUGUUUUUCUGGCAAUGUAUGAUAAAUUUAUAUUGUACUACUAAUAAUCUAAAUUGCCGGAAAUAUAGAGUAAAUUUGGUUGGGUAAUCUUGUCUCAAAUCUGCAAGUUAAGAUGGCAGCAUAAUUGAAAAAGGGAUUCCAAAAGAAGGAAGAUGGAAAACAUCGAUAUACACAGAUGCUUCACGAAAUACAUGCAGGGGCCGGGGUACAGAACAGAGCAUAAGCUCAGUCUUUGAAGAAGACAUGGAAAUAGAAAAGCUAAUUAUGCCACAUAUAUUUUACUUAAGAGAUCAAUCACUGGCUAACCCAGGCUCCUGCAUUGCAAAUCAUAGUUAGAUCUUGACAAACAGUAAGGAGUGGCAAUACAAAACCAUAAAGCAUUAUUUAUCUCCAAUCAAAAGCAUGAAAUAAUCAUGAAGGACCAAGGCUUCUUAAGUAGACAAAAGAUGAUGUCGUUCGCUAUGCAUGGUUGAAAGUUGAAACAUUACGCUGGUAUACAUGAGAAGCGAAGUUGCUUGGAAAUACCAUUAGGGAGUGGUUAGUGACCUUUUCACCUGUGGUGAAAAUUUGGGUGCCCCAAAUUUGAGCUGGGCGAAUGGCGUUGGGAGGACAUGGUAGGCGAGUACGCAUCUAAUAUGUUGUGGGAGUCUCACCAGGAGGCGGCGACAACACAUCGAUCUUCACCAUCUCGCCUCCUCCUUUUUGUGCACCGUCGUAGACAACACUGGAACUGCGAGCGGCCUCCCUCCUUUCUGUCCUCCUCUGCAUGUUGUUCGCUUUGAAGCAGCACCUCGCCACAAGCACCUCACACUGCAACUGCCCAAACCUGUGAGAGUCAAACUCCUUUGAAAAAGACUAUUCACAGCUUUUCACACAAACAUAUACUACAACUCCACAUUUAUUUUGUACCUCCGAAACAACGGAAAUGAGACCACACAUGAUAUCUAGAGGAAAUGUCUCCAACUUUUGUGCUUUCAAAAUAAUAUGUUCUUACCCAAAACUGCAGUGCCAGCAUCAGAUUUUUGCUCGUAGCUUGCAAAUUGUAAAUCAGUAAUAAUUUUUUUGUACUGUUGGAAAUUACUAUUAAUACCACAAAAUAAUAUGCUCUUACUCAAAACUGGAGCACCAGCAUCAGAUUUUUGCUUGUAGCUUACAAACUUUAAAUAAGUAAUAUUUUUUGUACUGUAGGAAAUUACUAUUAAUACCACAAAUUUUUUUGGUACUGUUGGAAAUUCCUAUUGAUCCCAAAACUGCAGCGCCGACAUCGGAUUUUUGCUCGUAGCUUGCAAACUGUUUGAAAUUAUGUACAGUUCGGUUCUAGUUUUACAAUUACCUUUACUUAGCACCAGUCCAUCUAUCUAUUUUCUAACUAAUUAAUGACUAAUUAGAGUUUACCUUUGCAGUAUUUAAUCACUGUUCCAUGGAAAGCUCGCAAAUUUUUGAUAAAGCCCAAGGAUUCUCCUUCCUACUUCUAUGAGUGAUGAGUUGCUCUCUUUCGAUUGGAUGUAUCCCUUAUCUCUUCUGAUUUGAUUGUUCCUGAUCCAAUCUGUGCAGUCUACUGCUGUGAGCUGUGCAUGGCCAUAGCUUUCUCUAACAUUCAAACAUAUCUAUUUCUCCGAUUCCUUUCUAGACCACACCCAGGACGCGCAGCGCUAGCAAGCUGCGCAGGCACAAGCGGCUCAAAAAUAGCUGGUAGCAGUGCUACACGCAACAGCAAAAUGCAUUAACUUGUGAUUAUAGAAUUAAACAACCAAUAACAUGCACCAGGGUAGGAUUUUGCACACAACAAGUACUCUGAAAAUAAACUGGACACAUGUACAGAACAGAGAACAUGAGCCAGGACACUGAUCCAUAGGGAAGAAGAGAAGGGGACGAGCUCACCUUGCAGUUUAGGCUUCGGGGCGUGGUCAUCCUGGUGCCGCUCCUAGCUUGGGAGCGUCGCUCGGGCAUCAAUGGCGUCGGGGCUAGCUCCUCUGAGACAUGGGGUCGCAGCUCCUUGAAGAAGGUGCGUCAGACGGCGGCGAAGAUGGGAUCCAGUGGGAAAUAGACCGGGCUGACGGGGGCGGGGCGGUGGGCGGCCUGGAUCCGGAGCAGCGACCGACGGGGACCGGCGCGGCCGACCUUGAUCCUUGGGGUGGCGGGCGGCGACCGGCGGGGAGGCGCAACUGGUCGGUCUCCUCCCUCGCGGUGGGGCGGGAAUGGACCGGCGGGAUGGCCUAUCCUCCGGCCAUGUAGGGGAAACCGACGGCGGCGGCGACCGGUGAGGGUGGCAGUGACCGGUGAGGGUGGCGGGGAACCCUAUCCAGCACGCACGGGAGUGGGCUAAGACUGAUUCGGGGUGGCUGGGGGUUUUCUUUUCUUUAAUUUUUCACUCUUUGCUUUUUUAGCAAGGAGAGAGAUAGUUCCAUCUCUUUGCCAUCUGCCAGCAGAUGGUAAAGAAUCUUUGCCGUCUGCUGGCAGAUGGCAAAGAGGUGGGGCUGGUACGCCGUUACAUUCUUUGCUGCCACAGGAUUUGCCAACCUCUUUGCCAUCUGUUGGCAGAUGGCAAAGAUUAUUUGCCAUCCACUAGCAGAUGGCAAAUAAUUGGCUGAUGGCAACCAUGUUCUUUGCCGUCUGUCAGUUCUUUGCCAUCUGUUUUUUAUAAGUAGAUGGCAAAGACAUUCUUUGCCAUCAGCUGGCAGAUGGCAAAGAGCUGGCUGAUGGCAAAUUCCUUGUUUCCAGUAGUGGUAGUAUUUAUUCGCGGCCGGAAUAUAGAUUGAUGGGGACAGUAGAAACACCGGUCGCCGGAAUUUAUGAGUACUGUAGUUUGAAUUACACACGGUUCCGACAGAAAAAUCCGUGUGUGAACAUAAUAGCCAAAAUUUGUGUGUGAACAUAAUAGCCGACAGUUUUCAAUGCAGAACCGUAUCUGAUUAAUGAUCCCUACCAUUCACCUACCAAACCUCGAGCCGCGAGAUAGACUGCUAAUCGUGUGGGGGCCGGUUGUCUUGCCAGAUCUUUACAUUUUUUUAACACCAGAUAUUUACAUCGUAUGAUGAUUUUUUUAACUCGCACAUGAGUACACAAAAAUAUGAUUUUUCAAGCCUUUAUAGUUAGGCGUGGCAUGUAGAUGUAGUUCAAAUUUGAAUUACGGUCAUUAAAUGGUUAGAAAAGCACUUAAAUGUCUUUAAAAAGGUCAAAUGACCUCUGAAAUUUUCCACAUUUUCACAAGACAGUUGUAUUAGUGCAUGUUGAACGUAGAAAAAAAAUUGAAGGCCAUAAGAGGAAGCUAUCUCCCCUUCAUCAUCAAACAUGCAUUAUUCCCUCUCGGAACCACGAACCUUGUAAUGAGUUGCUCCGAUUUGUGAGGGGUGUGUGUCCAAACUUUCGUUAAACAGGCCAAUUUUUUUACCACAUCAUCUUGGUGGCCUGACAUUAAAUCAAGCAAGGUUUCAUGCUUUUCUGAUCAUUUUUUAUUUUUUGAAUUAAAAUGCCAUGCUACUCCAUGCAUGUGUGCCCAUGCCUUGAGACCAAUAUGUUUGAAAAUUCCUUCUAAUUUACGGCACACAGAAUUAACUCGCACACAAGUACACAAAAUUAUGAUAUUUCAAACCGUUAUGGUUAGGCAUUGCAUGUAGAUGUAGUUCAAAUUUGAAUUACGGUCAUUAAAUGGUUAGAAAAUCACUUAUAUAUAUCUUUAAAAGGUGAUGACCCCUGAAAUUAUUUCACAUGACAGUUGUAUUUGUGCAUGUUAGACGUAGAAAAAAAGUUGAUGGCCGUAGGAGGAAGCUAUCUCCCGUUCAUCAUCAAACAUGCAUUGUUCCCUAUCGGAACCACGAACAUUCUAGUGAGUUGCUCCGGUUUGUGAGGGGUGUGUGUCCAAACUUUCGUCAAACAGGCCAAUUUUUUACCACAUCAUCUUGAAGGCAUGACAUUAAAUCGACCAAUGUUUCAUGUUUUUCUGAUCAUUUUUUUAAUUUUUUGGAAUUAAAAUGCCAUGUCAAUCCAUGCAUACGUAUGCAUGUGUCCAUGUCGUGAGACCAAUAUGUUUGAAAAUUCCUUCUAAUUUACUGCACAUGGAAUUAACUUGCACACAAGUACACAUAUAUGAUUUUUUAAAUUGUUUUUGCUAGGCGUUGCAUGUAUAUGUAGUUCAAAUUUGAAUUACGGCCAUUAAAUGGCUAGAAAAUCACUUAAAUUUCUUAAAAGGUCAAAUGACCCCUAGAAUUUACAAAAAAUUCACAUUACAGUUGUAGUAGUGCAUGUUAGACGUAGAGAAAAAUUGAAGGCCGUAAGAGGAAGCUAUCUCCUGUUCGUCAUCAAACAUGCAUUGUUCCCUCUCGGAAUCACGAGCCUUCUAGUGAGUUGCUCCGGUUUGUGAGGGGUGGGUGUCCAAACUUUCUUCAAACAUGCCAAUUUUUCUACCACAUCAUCUUGGUGGCAUGACAUUACAUCAACCACGGUUUCAUGUGAUUCUGAUAUUUUUUUAAUUUUUUGGAAUUAAAAUGCCAUGUCCCUCCAUGCAUACAUAUGUAUGUAUCCAUGUCGUGAGACCAAUAUGUUUGAAAAUUCCUUCUAACUUACUGAACAUGGAAUUAACUCGCACACAAAUACACAAAUAUGAUUUGUCAAACCAUUAUGGUUAGGCAUUGCAUGUAGAUGUAGUUGAAAUUUGAUUUAAAUGGCUAGAAAAUCACUUAAAUGUCUUUAAAAUGUCAAAUGACCCCUGGAAUUUUGCAAAUUUUCAAUUACAGUUGUAGUAGUGCAUGUUAAACAUAGAAAAAAUUGAAGGCCAUAAGAGGAAGAUAUCUCCCGUUCGUCAUCAAACACGUAUUGUUCCCUCUCGGAACCGCGAGCCUUCUAGUGAGUUGCUCCGGUUUGUGAGGGUGUGUGUCCAAACUUUCGUCAAAUAGGCCAAUUUUUUUUACCACAUAAUCUUGGUGGCAUGACAUUAAAUCAAGCAAGGUUUCAUGUUUUUCUGAUCAUUUUUUAAUUUUUUGGUAUUAAAAUGCCAUGCUACUCCAUGAAUGUGUGCCCAUGCCUUGAGACCAAUAUGUUUGAAAAUUCUUUCUAAUUUACUGCACAUGGAAUUAACUCUCAUACAAGUACACAAACAUAUGAUUUUUGAAACCGUUAUGGUUAGGUGUUGCAUGUAGAUGUAGUUCAAAUUUGAAUUAUGGUAAUUAAAUGGUUAGAAAAUCACUUAAAUGUAUUUAAAAGGUCAAAUGACUCCUGAAAUUUUCAAUCGCAUGACAGUAGUAUUAGUGCAUGUUAGACGUAGAAAAAAAAUUGAAGGUCAUAAGAGGAAGUUAUCUCCUGUUCGUCAUCAAACAUGCAUUGUUCCCUAAUACUUCUCCAACGUAUCUUUAAUUUUGAUUGUUCCAUGCUAUUAUAUUAUCCAUCUAGGAUAUUUUAUAUGCAUUUAUAUGCUAUUUUAUAUGAUUUUUGGGACUAAUCUAUUAACCUAGAGCCCAGUGCCAUUUUCUGUUUUUUUCCUUGUUUUUGAGUAUUGCAGAAAAGGAAAACCAAACGGAGUCCAAUUGACCUGAAAAUUCACGGAGAUGAUUUUUGGACCAGAAGAAGCCCACAGAGUACUGGAGAUGGGCCAGACGAGUCCUGAGGCACCCACGAGGGUGGGGGCGCGCCCUACCCAUGGGCGCGCCCCUUACCUCUUGGCCGCCUCGGGGACCCCCCUGACUUGUUCCCGACUCCAACACGUCUUAUAUAUACCCAAACAUCCAGAACAUAACCUAGAUCAGGAGUUCCGCCGCUUCAAGCCUCUAUAGCCAUCGAAAACCAAUCUAGACCCCUUUCCGGCACCCUGCCGGAGGGGGGAAUCCCUCUCCGGUGGCCGUUUUCAUCAUCUCGGCGCUCUCCAUGAUGAGGAGGGAGUAGUUCACCCUCGGGGCUGAGGGAAUGUACCAGUAGCUAUGUGUUUGGUCUCUCUCUCUCUCUCUCAUGUUAUUGAUUUGCACGAUCUUGAUGUAUCACGAGCUUUGCUAUUAUAGUUGGAUCUUAUGAUGUUUCUCCCCCUCUACUCUCUUGUAAUGGACUAAGUUUUUCCCUUUGAAGUUAUCUUAUCGGAUUGAGUCUUUAAGGAUUUGAGAACACUUGAUGUAUGUCUUGCAUAUGCUUAUCUGUGGUGACAAUGUGAUAUUCAUGUGAUCCACUUGAUGUAUGUUUACGUGAUUAACUUGCGAGUUCCAUGACCUCGUGAACUUAUGCAUAGGGGUUGGCACACGUUUUCGUCCUGACUCUCCGGUAGAAACUUUGCGGCACUCCUUGAAGUUCUUUAUGUUGGUUGAAUAGAUGAAUCUGAGAUUGUGUGAUGCCUACCGCAUAAUCAUACCCAUGGAUAAUUGAGGUGACAUUGGAGUAUCUAGGUGACAUUAGGGUUUUGGUUGAUUUUUGUCUUAAGGUGUUAUUCUAGUAUGAACUAUAGGAUAGAUUGAACGGAAAGAAUAGCUUCAUGUUAUUUUACUACGGACUCCUGAAUAGAUCGAUCAGAAAGGAUAACUUUGAGGUGGUUUCAUACCCUACAAUGAUCUCUUCAUUUGUUCUCUGCUACUAGUGACUUUGGAGUGACUCUUUGUUUCAUGUUGAGGGAUAGUUAUAUGAUCCAAUUAUGUUAUUAUUGUUGAGAGAACUUGCACUAGUGAAAUUAUGAACCCUAGGCCUUAUUUCCUAGCAUUGCAAUACCAUUUACGCUCACUUUUACCACUUGCUACCUUGCUGUUUUUAUAUUUUCGUAUUACAAAAACCUAUAUCUACCAUCCAUAUUGCACUUGUAUCACCAUCUCUUCGCCGAACUAGUGCACCUAUACAAUUUACCAUUGUAUUAGGUGUGUUGGGGACACAAGAGACUCUUUGUUAUUUGGUUGUGGGGUUGUUUGAGAGAGACCAUCUUAAUCCUACGCCUCCCAUAGAUUGAUAAACCUUAGGUCAUCCACUUGAGGGAAAUUCGUUACUGUCCUACAAAUCUCUACACUUGGAGGCCCAACAACAUCUACAAGAAGAAGGUUGUGUAGUAGACAUCAUUCCCUCUUGGAACCACAAACCUUCAAGUGAGUUGCUCCGGUUUGUGAGGGGUGUGUGUCCAAACUUCCGUCAAACGGGUCAAUUUUUUACCACAUCAUCUUGGUGGCAUGACAUUAAAUCAACCAAGGUUUCAUGUUUUUCUGAUCAUUCUUUUAAUUUUUUGGAAUUAAAAUGUCAGGUCACUCCAUGCAUAUGUAUGCAUGUGUCCAUGUCAUGAGACCAAUAUGUUUGAAAAUUCCUUCUAAUUUACUGCACAUGGAAUUAACUUGCACACAAGUACACAUAUAUGAUUUUUCAAACCGUUUUGGUUAGGCGUUGCAUGUAGAUGUAGUUCAAAUUUGAAAUACGGUCAUUCAAUGGCUAGACAAUCACUUAAAUUUUUUAAAAGGUCAAAUGACACCUAGAAUUUUCAAAAAUUUCACAUUAUAGUUGUAGUAGUGCAUGUUAGAUGUAGAAAAAAUUGAAGGCCGUAAGAGGAAGCUAUCUCCCGCUCGUCAUCAAACAUGCACUGUUCCCUCUCCGAAUCAUGAGCCUUCUAGUGAGUUGCUCCGGUUUGUGACGGGCGUGUGUCCAAACUUUCAUCAAACAUGCCAAUUUUUUACCACACCAUCUUGGUGGCAUGACAUUAAUUACAUCAACCAAGGUUUCAUGUGUAUCUGAUAUUUUUUUAAUUUUUUGGAAUCAAAAUGCCAUGACACUCCAUGCCUAAUUGUGUCAUAGCCUUGAGAAUAAUAUGUUUGAAAAUUCCUUCCAAUUUACUGCGCAUGGAAUUAAAUCGCACACAAGUACACAAAAUAUGAGUUUUCAAACCAUUAUGGUUAGCUAUUGCAUCUACGUGUAGUUCAAAUUUCAAUUACGGUCAUUAAAUGGCUAGAAAAUCACUUAAAUGUCUUUAAAAGGUCAAAUGACCCCUUAAAUUUUCAAAAAUUUGACAUGAAAGUUGUAUUGGUGCAUGUUAGACGUAGAAAAAAAUUGAAGGCCGUAAGAGGAAGCUAUCUCCCGUUCGUCAUCAAACAUGCAUUGUUCCCUCUCGGAAGCACGAACCUUCUAGUGAGUUGCUCUGGUUUGUGAGGGGUGUCUGUCCAAACUUUCGUCAAAUAGGCCAAAUUUUUUACCAUAUAAUCUUGGUGGCAUGACAUUAAAUAAACCAAGGUUUCAUGUUUUACUGAUCAUUUUUUAAAUUUUUUGGAAUUAAAAUGCCAUGUCACUCCAUGCAUCCGUAUGCAUGUCUCCAUGUCGUGAGACCAAUGUGUUUGAAAAUUCCGUCUAAUUUACUACACAUGGAAUUAACUUGCACACAAGUACACAAAUAUGAUUUUUCAAACCGUUUUGGUUAGGCAUUGCAUGUAGAUGUAGUUAAAUUUGAAUUACGGUCAUUAAAUGGAUAGAAAAUUACUUAAAUUUUUUAAAAGGUCAAAUGGCCCAUAGAAUUUUCAAAAAUUUUACAUUACAGUUGUAGUAGUGCAUGUUAGACGUAGAAAAAAAUUGAAGGCCGUAAGAGGAAGCUAUCUCCUGUUCGUCAUCAAACAUGCAUUGUUCCCUCUUGGAACCACAAGCCUUCUAGUGAGUUCCUUCGGUUUAUGAGGGGUGUGUGUCCAAAGUUUCGUCAAACAUGCCAAUUUUUUUACCACAUCUUCUUGGUGGCAUGACAUUACAUCAACCAAGGUUUCAUGUGUUUCUGAUUUUUUUAAAUUUGGAAUUAAAAUGCCAUAUCACUCCAUGCUUAAUUGUGUCAUUGCCUUGAGACCAAUAUGUUGGAAAAUUCCUUCCAAUUUACGGUGCAUAGAAUUAAAUCGCACACAAGUACACAAAAUUUGAGGUUUCAAACCAUUAUGGUUAGCUGUUGCAUGUACAUGUAGUUCAAAUUUCAAUUACGGUCAUGACAGUUGUAUUCGUACUAUCUUAAAAGGUCAAAUGACCCCUGAAAUUUUUCAAAAUUUGACAUGACAGUUGUAUUAGUACUACAAAAUUUCUCGUACAAUUAAAACAGUACCAUCCGUUACCACUGUACUCCAAAUUCGUCUUUCGCAGCUAAUAAAAAAUAUCUACAACAUAACACACAGUUGUUUUUGAGGAACCGUUUGCGAUGAAAAUAUCCGGGUCUAUUUAAGUCUCCCUUCUUAAGCUUCGCUGGCUCGUCUGCUCCAGUGCUGGCAACCCCCGAAUCCAAGAAUCCUGACCCCCAUUCCUGCACCCCCUUCUUGCAAAGAUGACGCCGUCGAAACGCUUCGUGAAGGCCCGUAUGAUGGCCGCAUCGCCCCGUGCGCCGCCACCUGCGCCGAGAGUGCCGCCGCAUCCGCAUUGAGCGCGGUCACUUCCGCCGAGAGGGCGUCUGCGGCAGCCGACAGGGUAGCUGCAGCAGCCGAGACGGCUGCAGCUGCUGCUGUGACUGUGGCUGCAAAGUCCGAGAGCGCUCGAGCUGUCGUCCGUGCCGCUGAUGUCGCCCUGGCCCGGUUCGAUGCCAUCCACGCCAAGAUCGAGGAUGCACAUGCCAAGAUAUUCCACGACACCUUGGACUCUAGCAUGCAACCCACGUCUGAAAAGGCGGUGGUGGCCAUGGAGCACCUACUUCCUCAUGAGGUCGCCGAGCGGGAGCUGGAGAUGUAGGAGGUGGCGGAGAUCGAGGAGCGCCAGGAGGAGGAGUUGCGCAUGGCCAAGGUCGAGGUAGACAAGAGUCUGUCCGUCGAGGAAUCGGUGAUGCAGUACCAACGCGAGCUCUGGGGCAACCACUACUAUGAGUACUUCAACCUUGAGGGCGGCGCCGAGGACAAGGACGCGGUCGACUUCAGUAGGGGGACGCGGUCGACUUCGCCAGGAUAAGUCAUCAACAUCUCAUCUCACACCGGUGAUGCAUAGGCCGACGCGGUGGCAGAUUUGUUAAAUUUAUGCGUACUAAGGCUUUGUUUUUAAUGCUAGUCUUUUGUUUAGCAAUGUUUAGGUCAACUGGCUCUGUUUAAUUACAAAAAUUGCUCGAUUCGGUAAGUGUGAUCUGUCUGCUGUACGCUUUUUUGUGUGCCCAAAUUAGCAAGCGAUGUUAAAUUAUGCAAUGACGUGCCCUGGGAAAUUUCUACCAAAAUUGGAAUUAUCAAACUAAUCCCAUGCGCGUAAACCGGAAGAAUCGUUUGCGAUGCAUACAAUCGUUCAAAGUGAAUAGUCCGGCGGCACCGCGCUCAAAGUUUCCCUCCACAUUUCAAAAAUUUUGGCCUACGGCCAAAAUAUCUACUGCUACCUCUUGAGCACUGCGUUGGUUUUCCCUUGAAGAGGAAAGGGUGAUGCAGCAAAGUAGAGUAAGUAUUUCCCUCAGUUUUUUAGAACCAAGGUAUCAGUCUAGUAGGAUACUACCCACAAGUCCCUUGUAUCAACACAAACAAAUAAGGACCUCGUAACCAACACUAUAAAGGGGUUGUCAAGCCCUUCAAGGUCACUUACGAGAGUGAGAUCUGAUAGAGAUAAUAAUAAUGAGAUAAAUAUUUUUGGUAUUUUUAGGAUAUAGAUUAAAAGUAAAGAUUGCGAAAUAAAAUAGAUUGGAAACUUAUAUGAUAAAAGAUCGACCCCGGGGGCCAUAGGUUUCACUAGUGGCUUCUCUCAAGAUAGCAUAAAUAUUACGGUGGGUGAACAAAUUACUGUCGAGCAAUUGAUAGAAAAGUGCAUAAUUAUGAGAAUAUCUAGGCAUGAUCAUGUAUAUAGGCAUUACAUCCGCGACAAGUAGACCAAAACGAUUCUGCAUCUACUACUAUUACUCCACACAUCGACCGCUAUCCAGCAUGCAUCUAGAGUAUUAAGUUCAUAAGAACAGAGUAACGCAUUAAGCAAGAUGAUAUGAUGUAGAGGGACAAACUCAAUAAAUAUGAUAUAAACCCCAUGUUUUUAUCCUUGAUAGAAAUAAUACAAUAUGUGCCUUGCUGCCCCUGCUGUCACUAGGAAAGGACACCGCAAGAUUGAACCCAAAACUAAGCACUUCUCCCAUUGCAAGAAAUAUCAAUCUAGUAGGCCAAACCAAACUGAUAAUUCAAAGAGAAUUGCAAAGAUAACAAAUCAUAUAUAAAAGAUUUUAGACAAGAAUCAAAUAUUGUUCAUAGAUAAACUUGAUCAUAAACCCACAAUUCAUCGUAUCUCGACAAACACAUCGCGAAAAGUGUUACAUCAAAUAGAUUUCCAAGAAGAUCAAGGAGAACAUUGUAUUGAGAUCCAAAUAGAGAGAAGAAGCUAUCUAGCUAAUAACUAUGGACCCGAAGGUCUUUGGUAAAGUACUAACACAUCACCGGAGAGGCUAUGGUGUUGAUGUAGAAGCCCUCCAUGAUCGAUUCCCCCUCUGACGGAGCUCCGAAAAAGGCCCCAAGAUGGGAUCUCUUGGGUACAGAAGGUUGCGGCGGUGGAAAUAGGGUUUCAUAUAGAUACGUUGGGCCUUGGGUUAGUAGGUUAGUCCCAAAAAUAAUAUAAAAGUGUAUAAAUAAUCCCAUUAACAUCCAAAAUAGAUAAUAUAAUAGCAUGGAACAAUAAAAAAUUAUAGAUACGUUGGAGACGUAUCAAGCAUCCCCAAGCUUAAUUCCUUCUCAUCCUCGAGUAGGUAAAUGAUAAAAACAGAAUUUUUUAUGUGGAAUGCUACCCAACAUAAUUCUCAAUGUAAUUUUCUUUAUUGUGGCAUGAAUGUUCAGAUCCUAAAGAUUCAAUAAAAAAGUUUAAUAUUGACAUAAAAAUAAUAAUACUUCUAGCAUACUAACUAAGCAAUCAUAUCUUCUCAAAAUAACAUGGUAAAAGAAAGUUCAUCCCUACAAAAUCAUAUAUUUUGGUCAUGCUCCAUUUUCAUCACACAAGAAUGCUCUCAUCAUGCACAACCCCGAUGACAAGCCAAGUAAUUGAUUCAUACUUAAGUAAUCUCAAACUUUUUUCAACUUUCACGCAAUACAUGAGCGUGAGCCAUGGAUAUAGCACUAUGGGUGGAAUAGAAUAUGAUGAUGGGGGUUAUGUGGAGAAUACAAAAAAGGAGAAAGUCUCACAUCGACGCGGCUAAUCAAUGGGCUAGGGGGAUGCCCAUCAAUUGAUCUCAAUGCAAGGAGUAGGGAUUGCCAUGCAACGGAUGCACUAGAGCUAUAAAUGUAUGAAAGAUCAACAAAAGAAACUAAGUGGGUGUGCAUCCAAGUUGCUUGCUCAUGAAGACCUAGGGCAUUUGAGGAAGCCCAUUGUUGGAAUAUACAAGCCAAGUUCUAUAAUGAAAAAUUCCCACUAGUAUAUGAAAGUGACAAAACAAGAGACUCUCUAUCAUAAAGAGCAUGGUGCUACUUUGAAGCACAAGUGUGGAAAAAGAGGAUAGUAGCAUUAUCCCUUUUUAUUCUCUUUUUUUAUUCUUCUUUUUUUGGGACUUUCUUUUUUAUUUGACCUUUCUUUUUUUAUUUGGCCUUCUCUUCUUUGGGGGACAAUGCUCUAUUAAUGAUGAUCAUCACACUUCUAUUUAUGUACAACUCAAUGAUUACAACUCGAUACUAGAACAAAAUAUGAUUCUAUAUGAAUGACUCUGGCGGUGUACUGGGAAGGGCAAUGAAUCAAGAGUGACAUGUAUGAUAAAUUAUGCAUGGUGGCUUUGCCAUAAACACGAUGCCAACUACAUGAUCAUGCAAAGCAAUAUGACAAUGAUGAAGCGUGUCAUAAAUGAAACGGUGGGAAGUUGCAUGGCAAUAUAUCUCGGAAUGGCUAUGGAAAUGCCAUAAUAGGUAGGUAUGGUGGCUGUUAUGAGGAAGAUAUAAGGAGGCUUAUGUGUGACAGAGCGUAUCAUAUCACGGGGUUUGGAUGCACCGGUGAAGUUUGCACCAACUCUCAAGGUGAGAAAGGGCAAUGCACGAUACCGAAGAGGCUAGCAAUGAUGGAAGGGUGAGAGUGCGUAUUAUCCAUGGACUCAACAUUAGUCAUAAAGAACUUGCAUAAUUAUUGCAAAUAUCUACAAGUAAUCAAAAACCAAGCAUUACGCGCAUGCUCCUAGGGGGAUUGAUUGGUAGGAAAAUACCAUCCCUUGUCCUCGACCGCCACUCAUAAGGAAGACAAUCAAAGAAAACCUCAUGUUUCAAAUUUGUUACACAGCGGUUACCAUACAUGCAUGCUACGGGACUUGCAAUCUUUAACACAAGUAUUUCUCAAAUUCACAACUACUCAACUAGCACACUCUAAUACCACCAUCUUUAUAUCUCAAAACAAUUAUCAAUUAUCGAACUUCUCAUAGUAUUCAAUGCACUUUCUAUGAUAGUUUUUAUUAUACCCAUCUUGGAUGCCUAUCAUAUUUGGACUAAUUUCAUAACCAAAGCAAAUUUCCAUGCUGUUUUAAAGGACUCUCAAAAUAAUAUAAGUGAAGCAUGAGAGAUCAAUAAUUUCUAUAACUAAAACCACCAUCAUGCUCUAAAAGGUAUAAGUGAAGCACUAGAGCAAAAUUAUCUAGGUCAAAAGAUAUAAGUGAAGCACAUAGAGUAUUCUAAUAAAUUCUAAUUCAUGUGUGUCCGUCCCAAAAGGUGUGUACAGCAAGGAUGAUUGUGUUAAACUAAAAAUCAAAGACUCAAAUCAUACAAGACGCUCCAAGCAAAACACAUUAUCAUGUGGUGAAUAAAAAUAUAGCAUCAAGUAAAGUUACUGAUGGAAGAAGACGAAAGAGGGGAUGCCUUCCGGGGCAUCCCCAAGCUUAGGCUUUUGGUUGUCCUUGAAUUUUACCUUGGGGUGCCUUGGACAUCCCCAAGCGUAGGCUCUUGCCACUCCUUGAUCCAUAAUCCAUCAAACCUUUACCCAAAACAUGAAAACUUCACAACACAAAACUUAAACAAAAAAUCUCAUGAGCUCCGUUAGUAUAAGAAAACAAACCACCACUUAAGGUAUUGUAAUGAACUCAUUAUUUAUUUUUAUUGGUGUUAAGCCUACUGAAUUCCAACUUCUCUAUGGUUCAUAACCUCCGAUACUAGCCACAGAUUCAUCAAAAUAAGCAAACAACACGCGAAAAACAGAAUCUGUCAAAAACAGAACAGUCUGUAGUAAUAUGUAGAUUUCGAAUACUUAUGUAACCCCAAAAAUUCUAAAAUAAAUUUUUGGGUGUGAGGAAUUUGUCUAUUAAUCAUAUUCAAAAAGAAUCAACCUAGUAGCACUCCCCAGUAAAAAAAAGGGCAGCAAAUCUCGUGAGCGCUAAAGUUUCUGUUUUUUACAGCAAGAUCGCAAAAACAUCCCCCAAGUCUUCCCAAAGGUUCUACUUGGUACAAACACUAAUUAAAAGCAUAAAAGCAUAUCUAAAAAGAGGUUAUAUGAAUUAUUUAUCACUAAACAGAACCAAAAAGCAAGAAACAAAAAUAAAAUUGGGUUGCCUCCCAACAAGCGCUAUCUUUUAACACCCCUAGCUAGGCAUCUAUAAUUUUAAUGAUGCUCACAUGAAAGAUAGCAAUUGAAACACGAAGGGAGCAUCAUGGAACAUAUGAAAAUCGCAUCUAAGUUUAACAUACUUCCUAUUCAUAUGCAUUAUAUAAGCAAACAAAUUAUCAAGACAAACAAAAACUACCAUAUGCAAGGAAGAAGAAAGAAACAAAAGCAAUCUCAACAUAACGAGAGGUAAUUUUAUAACAUGAGAAUUUAUACAACCAUAUUUUCCUCUCUCAUAAUAAUUACAUGUAGGAUCAUAAGCAAAUUCAACAAUAUAGCUAUCACAAAACAUAUUCUUAGCACGAUCCACAUGUAUGCAAAGUUGACACUCUUCCAAAAUAGUGGGAUUAAAAUUAACUAAAGUCAUGACCUCUCCAAACCCACUUUUAUAAAAAUUUCAUAAGAUUGAACAUUCUACAAAUAUAUGGGAUCUAAAGUUCACACUCUUCCCACUUUCAAUAAUAUUGCAAACACUAUUACCAAUCUCAUAUUCAUCAUGGGGCUUAAAUAAAUUUUCAAGAUCAUAAGAGGAAUCACCCCAAUCAUGGUCAUUGCAACAAGUAGUGGACAUAGCAAAACUAGCCUCCCCAAGCUCAGGGUUUUGCAUAUUAUUAGCACAAUGGACAUUAAUAGAAUUUAUAAUAACAUCAUUACAAUCAUGCUUUUCAUCGAAGGAACCAUCAAGUAUGGGUACAAUAGCAACAAUCUCAUGUUUAACAUAAGGUACUAUAGCAAAUUCAUCUUCAUAAAUAUUGGCAUCAUGGCCACAAGAAUAGCAAGCAUCAUCUUCAUCAAGGGAUAUUUCAAUCAAAUCAUCGGAAUCAUAAUUAUCUAUAGAUUCAUGCAUAUCAUUAUUUUCUUCCAAAGCAGUGGUCAUUCUUUAAAUAAAUUCUUUGACAUAGACAUUAUGAGCAUAGUUUUUAUAGCAAUAUUUAAGUAUGUCAAGGUUUUCAGAUUCGUAGAGAGUAAUAUCAAACUUUUCAAUCAAAGAAGGAACUUCAUAAGCACCCUUAAAAGAAACAAAUUCUUCAAUUUGUUCGAUAUCGUAGUAACUAUAAACACCUUUUGCAUAAGAAGAUAAGAUUUCAUUAUCAAUAAACUCACAUAGGUAGGGGAGGUGUUUUUAGGGUUCUUAGAGCAACAAGUAAAAUCAUAAAUUCCACAAAGACUCCAAGCAUAACACAUCAAUCUAUUUAUUUGAUCCUAUAAGAGUCUCCCCUUUUAAGACAAACGGUGACGCACAAAAUGAGCAUGUUCAUCUAAAGAUUUUCCAUCAACUAAGCUAGUUGGAGUUUCAGCACGAGCGCAUAAGGAUCGAAGAUGAUCCAAGUAGAACACUUCAAGUGGAUCCAUAUCAAUAGAUUUUUAGCAAGCAAAGAUGCAAGCAAAUAGAAGGCACAUGGAAACACAAACAAAGAUACAUACGGUAAGAAUGCGAACGGAAAAAGGGCAAACAAAACGGCAAGGGCGAGGUGGGGGAGAGGAAAACAAGAGGUAAAUGGCAAAUAAUGUAAUGCGAGGGAUAAGAGUUUUUGAUGGGUACUUGGUAUGUCUUGACUUGUGAUUAGAUCUCCUCGGUAACGGUGCCAGAAAUCCUUCUUGCUACCUCUUAGGCACUGUGUUGGUUUUCCCUUGAAGAGGAAAGGGUGAUGCAGCAAAGUAGCAUAAGUAUUUCCCUUAGUUUUUGAGAACCAAGCUAUCAAUCCAGUAGGAGACUACACGCAAGUCCCUCAUACCUACACAAACAAAUAAGAACCUCGCAACCAACGCGAUAAAGGGGUUGUUAAGCCCUACUUGGUCACUUACGAGAGUCAGAUCUGAUAGAGAUAAUAAUAAUGAGAUAAAUAUUUUUGCUAUUUUUAUGAUAUAGAUUGAAAGUAAAGAUUGCGAGAUAAAAUAAAUUGGAAACUUAUAUGAUAAAAGAUAGACCCGGGGGCCAUAGGUUUCACUAGUAGCUUCUCUCAAGAUAGCAUAAAUAUUAAAGUGGGUAAACAAAUUAAUGUCGGGUAAUUAAUAGAAAACCACAUAAUUAUGAGAAUAUCUAGGCAUGAUCAUGUAUAUAGGCAUCACGGCCACGACAAGUAGACCGAAACGAUUCUGCAUCUACUACUAUUACUCCACACAUCGACCGCUAUCCAGCAUGCAUCUAGAGUAUUAAGUUCAUAAAAGCAGAGUAACGCAUUAAGCAAGAUGGCAUGAUGUAUAGAGAUAAACUCAAGCAAUAUGAUAUAAACCCCAUCUUUUUAUCCUCGAUGGCAACAAUACAAUACAUGCCUUGCUGCCCCUGCUGUCACUAGGAAAGGACACAACAAGAUUAAACUCAAAGCUAAGAACUUCUCCCAUUGCAAGAAAGAUCAAUCUAGUAGGCCAAACCAAACUGAUAAUUCGAAGAGACUUGCAAAGAUAACAAAUCAUACAUAAAAGAUUUCAGAGAAGAUUAAAAUAUUGUGGAUAGAUAAACUUGAUCUUAAACCCACAAUUCAUCGGAUCUCGACAAACACACCGCAAAAAGAGUUACAUCAAAUAGAUCUCCAAGAAGAUUGAGGAGAACAUUGUAUUGAGAUCCCAAGAGAGAGAAGAAGCCAUCUAGCUAAUAACUAUGGACCCGAAGGUCUGUGGUAAACUACUCACACAUCAUCGGAGAGGCUAUGGUGUUGAUGUACAAGCCCUCCGUGAUUAAUUCCCCCUCCGGCGGAGCUCCGGAAAAGGACCCAAGAUGGGAUCUCUUCGGUACAGAAGCUUGCGGCGGUGGAAAUAGGGUUUCAUGAUGCUCCUGGAUGUUUUCGGGGUAUAUGGAUAUAUAUAGGAGGAAGAAGUAGGUCGGUGGAGCCACGAGGGGCCCACGAGGGUGGGGGCGCGCCCAGGGGGCAGGUGUGCCUCCCUGCCUCGUGGCCUCCUCGUUGAUUUCUUGACGUCCACUCCAAGUCCCCUGGAUCACGUUUGUUCCAAAAAUAACUCUCCCGAAGGUUUCAUUCCGUUUGGAUUCCGUUUGAUAUUCCUUUUCUGCGAAACACUGAAAUAGGCAAAAAAACAGCAAUUUGCACUAGGCCUUAGGUUAGUAGGUUAGUCCCAAAAAUAAUAUAAAAGUGUAUAAAUAAUCCCAUUAACAUCCAAAACAGAUAAUAUAAUAGCAUGGAACAAUCAAAAAUUAUAGAUACGUUGGAGACGUAUCAUCUACCCCCGCCGCCUUCCCCUCUUCCCAACCCCCUUUUCUCCCCGACCACGAGUCACAUUUCCUCUGUUUCCUACUUCCUUCCUUCCUUGCUAAGCUAUAUUCGCUUCCUCGCUCUCGCCGUCUCGCAUCCUACCGCUGGGAUCACCAUGGUCUUCUUCAAAGACAUCUCCAACAGUUCCUCCUCCGGUGACUACUCCUUCACCACCCGGGUAUGCCUAUCUUCUCUCUCUUGGGAUAUGACUUGGAAUGAAGGGUUUUUACCAGGUGGUCGAUUUGAGUCAUUUUUUCCUCUUGUAGCUCCCUAAGACCAUAAGUGGAAACGAAAGGAGAGGGGCGGCUGAAGAUCUAUCUGCUCGUUGUCACCAUCAAUCUCCAUGCGUGAAGCUAGUUGCGUUUGAUUCUAUGGACAGUGGGAGGAAGUUUCUGUCAUGUGCAGAGAAGGUUAGACCCUCUUUCGUUGUUACAAAUCAUUUGUUAGAUGUGAUUCAGACACUGUCACGGUCCCAACCCAUUCAUACCACACCUUCAACCAAGCGCAUCCUAAGACUGUGUCACAGUUUGUACCUAGUAUCUUAAAUUGUUGCCAUCUCAUCAGCGGUGCCAUUAGAAAAUUAUUUGGCACCGCUUCAGUAGUUUGUGCAGCCAACUUUGGUCCACACAUCUGAGCAGCCAAGCAAUAAAAUACUAAAUCUUUAUGGCACGAAGGAACUGGGCAUCGGAGCAACUACGUGCUCCAGAAUCCGGGUCCCUGAUUUUUUUUCUGCUGCAUCGGCUCGCCAGUGCAGGGCACCGGUGCGGGAUGUAGCAAUAGUUGUCUUUACCCCAGUUUUGGCAUACAUAAUGGACGACCUUAGGGCUAUUAGUUACAUGUUACUAAAUUUGUCCAUGUACACACCUGUUAAUAUCAAUUUGCUGUCAUCCAAACACUGUCGCUAUGUUGUUGCAGUUAUAUUUACCUUCCUCAUAAAAUGUUCAAUUUGUUAUUUAUUGUACAUGAGUAAGAACUUGUAGCGUCGUUGUAGUUAAUUAUAGCUUAUGAUGUUCCAGAAUUUGGUUGUUGUCUCGGUACCAAUUAUUUUAUUUGCACAUUGAUCUUUUUUAGAAGAUAUGUCAUAAUUAACAUGGUUCUUUAGUUUUUCUAGAUAAGCAUCGGUGAUUUUCUAUGUUUCUAUAAACCCAUUUCCCCUACAAUUUUUACUGAUCUAGUUUUAAACAUUAUAGGAUGAACGGAAGUGCUCUUACUUGGAGUGGGUUGAUCAAGAGUGGCCAAAGUAUUUGAAGAUGUGCCUAGCGAAGCUCUGGAGCAUGUAUGAGGAAGAGAAGACACGUAGGCUUAGAGAAAGUGUUGUCAAUGCUGAAGCAUAUUUCAAGAUGCGGGAUAAAAAGUUGAAGGUGGAGAAUGAGCUCAGAUCUUUUAAAUCAGACUUUGCUAAGAUGGUGUUGGCGAAGGAGGAGGCACUUUCCCAGUUGGCCCAUGCAAAACGGGUUCUUACUGAACUGAAAGCAUAGGUGGAUAAGACAAGCCUGGAGGAUCUCGAUUAGAGAAAUGAAUAUGUUUUUCUUAUGAAGUUGAACUAGCUAUAUGUUGUACUGUGUUGUUUUCCUGUAGCUACCGUACUGUCAUGUUAUAAUAUAUUUAUGUGCCUGAUAUGAAAUUGGCCAACAGCUGUUCGAUAUGCAAUGUGAAUUUGCAUAAUACUGGAAUUAUUAAUUGUAAACCAAUAAACCUGCUAAAUGUGUCAUGCACCUUUGCAAACGGUUCUAGCAGAAAAAGCACUUGCGAUGGAUAGCCCAAUGCCACAUAGUUUUCUUCAUCAAAUCAUGUGUGAUAUAGUUGAUAAAAGCAAACAGUUAACCAUGGCAAACCGUGUGUGAUAGUUAGACCUUUCACACACGAGCCUACACAUAAAACUGUGUGGGAUGUACGUCCGAACGGAAACGUGUUCCCUGGAUUGACUGUGUGGGAUGUACAUAAGAACAGAAACGUAUUCUUUGGAUUGACUGUUUGUGAUAUACAUACAAACGGAAAUGUUUUUUUGUGAUUCACCAUUUGGGAUGUACAUACCUACGGAAAUGAUUUUCUUGGAUUACCGUGUGGGAUGUACAUACCUAUGGAAAUAAUUUGGUUUCGAUGCCUCGCCCGAUGGCACACGGCCCCAGCCUAGGUCCCAGGAGGGCCUAUCCCCGACGAUUUAUGGGUCGUGUGCGAAGGACACGCUAUCGCACACACUCACUUGGCGACGGUUCCAAAUGCCGUCGUGGAAAGGGGUUAAAAACCGUUUGUUUAGGACCGACGUGCACCAGUGCUCUGUAUGCAUGAUUUCAUUCUUCUUGCUAAAGAUUAGAGCGUGCAUGAACUCGGCCUUCCAGUCAUCUGCAACAGUCUGCCAACAAGAAAUGAAAUGAUGGUUUAGUAAAGGAUAACUAAAACCACAUCAGGAGCAUCUCAGCAAACACACACAAGAAAAAAAGGAUGAUGAGACAAGAACAAGGACAAAACAUACCUUCACAUCACCAAAAUCAUCAACAAGCUCAUCGCCAUCAUAUGUAGAGCAGAACUUCACGGCAAAGAAACCACAAUCAUUAUUCACUUGCUUUGGAAUGUUGAUAAAAGUUGGCCUCUUUGCAAUAUUCGCCCAGUUAGGCUGCUUGCUCACUUUGUACGCAACCUUGUCGUACACCUCCUCGAGCAACCCAACAAAUCUCUUGAUCUACCAAAAAUGACAAAUAAGAUGAAGUCAAAAACAUGUUAACGAAAAUAGUUAAGUUUGGGUACAUAAAAGCGACACUUGCAUAAGAUCCAGCUAAACAAAUAUCAGAAGUUCAACUGUCAAAUGAUAGUCAGUUCAAGCAGUAUUACCAAAAUAGAGACAGAAACAUAUUUUGUCAAUAGAAGGCAUAAUAAACUUCGUGUCAAACAAGCAAAUAUGAAAGGAGGUUUAGGCUAAGAAACACUCACGAUAUUUUGGCAGUCUCCGUGGAAACUUCUUCGUAACAUUCCCUUAUUAGUGUAAGGAACUGAAUCAAGGAUGUCAAUGCUCCCACGAUAUCUAUUCGGCACAUACACACUG
rnacentral:lncRNA from 1 species